GGUCAUUUAGGCAAAAAUUUGGAGAUGAGGCUUAUGCCAAGCUGGAUGUGAUUGAAGCUCAAUUUUUGGCGACCUUUAUGAUUUUUGCUGCAAGGUUGCUGGCCAUGAUGGGAAAACUGUAAUAGUUGCUGGGCUAGAUGGGGACUACUUAAGUGGGAGUAUUUCGGUGCUUUUUCGUGGGCUGCAUCACCAGAGUUCUAGGUAAUUUCAUUGUUAUUUUAUUCGAGUUCUGUAAAACAUGUGGUAUAAAUAAAAUUAUUUUAAGUUUUUUAAAAAGAAUAGUAUUUCUUUAUAUUUUUUCAAUAGUUUUGUCAAAACAUAUUACAGACUCUAUAAAUUUUAA